GAGAAAUAUUGAAAUACCAUACGUAUGAAAGCGUCUGUUACAAAAAAACAAGACCCUAUUUCUAUACUGUCCUGCAGACAGUGUUUUUAUAAGUACCUUGAAACGAAGGUUAGUCAUAAUUUGAUACGAUCAACGAAUAGAAAUGGAAAUGGCAAAAAUAUCUGGCGACAAUAGUGUAAACUUUCUAAUUAAUGCAGCACCAUAUUCAAUAUUUAAUAACAGUAUACCCGC